GCCUUCCGCCGGUGCCCGGAAUCCGCCACGCCAAAUAGUAUUUGUUUUACAAAUUAUAAUAUUAUUAACAUUUUGUAAAUACAAAUCAACAAAAUUUUUAAUAUUAAUUGAUAAUAUUAUCAAGCUAUAUAUAAAUAACAAUAUUAACUAUAAAAAUAAAAAAAUAUUAAUUGAUAAUAUUACCAAGGGCGGCGGCUGGCGGAGGCAAGGGAAAGGGCGGCGGCCGGCGGAGGUGAGAACAAGGACGGUGGCCGGCGUAGCCGAGGGAAAGGGGCGGCGACCGGUCGUGUUGGGGGAGGCAAGGGAAAGGGGGCCGGUGGAGGCGAGGGGAGAAAAUGGGUGGCGGCUAGCGGAGGGGAGAAAAUGGGUGACGGCCGAUCGGGUUGGGGGAGAAGGAGGAGUUGGGGUGGAGCGGUUCUGGGGUUGUGACUUGUGAGACUUAGGGUUUUGUAAAAUAAAAACUAAGCCUAAAUAUAGUUGGGUUUUUUGUAAAUAUAUUAUUUUUCAGGGAUAUUUUAAAGAAAUAUAUAAAUGAUUUUCGGGGCGGAUUCGGGAUGGAUUUGGGGCGGAUCAUGGCGAGGCGGAUAAAAUUUUUUUUCAUUUCCUAUCCCGAAUCCGCCUCGGAUCAUAAAAAUUGCCCCGUUUGCUGCCCCGAAGCCGUUUAUUUCCUCCCGUUUACUGC
rnacentral:lncRNA from 1 species